rnacentral:rRNA from 1 species
AGUGAACGCUGGCGGCAGGCCUAACACAUGCAAGUCGAACGGCAGCACGGCAGUAGCAAUACUGUGGGUGGCGAGUGGCGGACGGGUGAGGAAUACAUCGGGAUCUACCCUGUUGUGGGGGAUAACGUAGGGAAACUUACGCUAAUACCGCAUAAGAACUGAGGUUGAAAGCGGCGGACCGCAAGGCGUCGCGCGAUUGGAUGAACCGAUGUCCGAUUAGUUAGUUGGCGGGGUAAAGGCCCACCAAGGCGACGAUCGGUAGCUGGUCUGAGAGGACGACCAGCCACACUGGAACUGAGACACGGUCCAGACUCCUACGGGAGGCAGCAGUGGGGAAUAUUGGACAAUGGGCGCAAGCCUGAUCCAGCCAUGCCGCGUGGGUGAAGAAAGGCCUCGGUGUAAGACGAUUUAGUCGUAACGAAAGACGAUACGUUAUACCGGUA